UCUCUCCACUCCUCUCUUUAACUCCCCAACACUCUCCUUUGUAGCUAAAACUAGUCUAGCUUUCUCUAUAGAUCAGAUAGCAUGCAACAAGUCUCACCUAUUCUCCAUUCUCUCAUCCAAAUUAACCUCCCCACAAGCUGCAUCAUAUAUAUAGCCAAGGUCAAGCUCAAACUACCAAAUUAGUUUUAGGCACACAAAAGGCUAUGUUUGGCGAUGUUCAGGGAAAAGUGAAACAAUUGGGUGAAAAGUUUCCAGUAAUCCGUUGACUGCUCGGUGCAAUAAAAAGGAAGCGAUCAAGGGACACUCUGAUACUCGCUGCAGUCAAACUGGUUCAAACCUUCUUCACAACAGGGAAAUGGGGCAAAAGCGUGUUGCAUCAUUUAUUUAUUUUUAUUCUAGGCGAAAUACUAUUUCUCUGACUCCAUCAUCUUCCCGUCCAUCUACUGGGAAAGUACCUCUACAUCCCCGGAGAACUACGAGUUCAGGGUCUCAUUCUUCAGCUGCUCAUGUGCGUAUAGGUUCUCGAGGCUCCCCGCAAUAGGUUGGUACACGAGCCUUUAUUCCAAAAUAUGCCCCACCUCCUAACAAUGAGGUUCCACCUACUGACGAGGCCCCAAAUGGUAUUCAAAUGAAUACUGAAGAUGAUUCUUACUCAGAAACAGAUGAAUCCACUUAGGAGGAUACAGAGGCACAUGAUGGUGGCACGAUGCAGAAAUCCUUCAUCAUCCCGUCAAGCCUACAGUAAGAUCAUUUAUUUAUUAUUUUAUUAUUAUAUAGGCGUUAUUGAUAUAUCUAAACAUUAUAAUGAUUUUUUUUUUGUACUAAGAAAUUUGUGCUUGAUAUCUUGAAAAAUAUUUUAAAGAAGUACUACACCGCACCUUGGCACUCAUGGAAAGAAGUGUCCAAUGAUGGCUACCUAUGUUAUUGGCAGUAGUUUUAGUCUCAUUUUUCUUGGCAACCGCAUGAUGUCGUAGAAGUGGAAAAAAUGUUUAACAAGAAGGCUGCUGAGUGGUUGCUGAGAAAUCUAGCUCGUGCUCGGGAGAAGCGAAAGAGACCAGAAUGGAAUAGGCACAAUGUUUGGGAGCAGUUGCUAUUGAUUUGGAAUGAUGCAAAAUAUAGAAAAUAUUGUGAGAAGAAUAAAAAGAGCCGGCAGUCAAAAACUGAGGGAUCUACAACAAUUUAUCAUGGUGGUUCCAUAUCUAUGAUUGAACAUCGAGAUAGACUGGAAGCCAAAUUGGGCCGCAAGGUAUCCAUAGUGGAGGCUUUUAAAGAAGUUUAUCAAAAGUAUGAUGGGAGUUGGAAUGAGCAAGUGGCCCAAUUAGCACAUGAGAAAUUUGUCAAACCAAGACAUAUUGGCUCGAGAAGGCCAAGGGGUAGAAAUUGAUGAUGAUAAACUAUGGUGGGACAUAGUCGGAUUAUAAAAAAAAUCGAUGUUAUGGCAUGGGUAACCUUGUUGAAAAGAUAGCUUCUGAUUAUUCUCAUUCGCAAUCUCAGCGUUACACUUUGAGUACUCAGGAAUUUGUUCCUUCUAUGCCUCCAUAGGUUAUGAGUAAGCUGGAAUUUUUAGAGAAAGCAUACGAGGAGCAAACGCAGCAGACCCAAUACAUCAUUUUUCUAUUAGAAUCUCGAGGUAUUUAGGUAAACUUUGAGACAGCUCCUCGCACUUCUCAUGCUGCUGCCAGGACUGGGGAGUCUGCUUCCCAUGCCCCUCACACUUCAGAGGACGUUGAACAUCCUCAGCCCGUUGAUGAAAUUGCAACAAAGUGAAUGUGAUGUUUUGAAUUAACUUUAGAUUGUUAUAUUAGAUGUUUGGACUAUUAUAUUUUGUAUGUGAUUGUUGUAUUAGAUGU